rnacentral:rRNA from 1 species
UACGGAGGAUGCAAGCGUUAUCCGGAAUGAUUGGGCGUAAAGCGUCCGCAGGUGGCUGUGUAAGUCUGCUGUUAAAGAGCAAAGCUUAACUUUGUAAAAGCAGUGGAAACUACACAGCUAGAGUGCGUUCGGGGCAGAGGGAAUUCCUGGUGUAGCGGUGAAAUGCGUAGAGAUCAGGAAGAACACCGGUGGCGAAGGCGGCCAGCUGGGCCGUCCCUGACGCUGAGGCGCGAAGGCGUGGGGAGCGAACGGG